rnacentral:rRNA from 1 species
UACGUAGGGUGCAAGCGUUAAUCGGAAUUACUGGGCGUAAAGCGUGCGCAGGCGGUUUUGUAAGUCUGAUGUGAAAUCCCCGGGCUCAACCUGGGAAUUGCAUUGGAGACUGCAAGGCUAGAAUCUGGCAGAGGGGGGUAGAAUUCCACGUGUAGCAGUGAAACGCGUAGAGAUGUGGAGGAACACCGAUGGCGAAGGCAGCCCCCUGGGUCAAGAUUGACGCUCAUGCACGAAAGCGUGGGGAGCAAACAGG